CUGUUGGGGAUGAUGAUGUUGAUUGACAGUCCUGGAAGGGCCAGAACAUCUUGAGGAAUCGUUUAUGCGCCAUCGCCAUGCGCACUUGUAUACAAUGUACAAUGUCGUGUAUACAAUGUCUCGAUAUUCUUCAACAACUUCUUCACAAAUUAAACACAAAACUCCCUCAACACACUGGCUGUAAAGCCGGCACAGCACACGCGACCCGAUCGUGGAUUGGGUACUCUUCCAAAGCGCAACUGUCACCCUGCACCGCCGUAGAAGAACUGCAUUAAUUCGGCGAGCAAUCUACACUGAUAUUGUACCGCACACCACACGCAAACAACGAACCGCGAGACGUUGGUGUGCGGCCACAGCGUGGUGACGCAUGCUGAGAGAACGAACCAAGAACACAACCCCGGGGGAGGCACCGCUCAUCAAAAGGGAUGAUCCGAACCUGAUCGUGCACGAUCGGGAGUCGGCCGCGGACGUGCCGCACCAGUAGUCGAUUCGUAUUAGGCGUCACACACCACACACGCGGCCAAUAAAGAGACAGAGAGAGAAGAUGAAGCAUCAACAAAAAAACGGCACCGAAACUCUCAUACAACCUCUUCCCUCACCCCUAGAGGGGCGCGAAUCGCUGAAUCGUAAAAUCGCGCCCCUUUCUUCCCCGACACAGAAUCACAACACGACCCCCCGCGUGUGUUACUCCCGCCUGGAAGAAAUGAGAGUCUCGGCGUUGGAGAUGCGCGUUUGAUUCGACGCUGACAGACACUUGCGGGUUGGUCUCUCGCGCUCUCUCUCUCUCUGUAUGUCACUCGGUACGUCCAGAAGAAUAACAGACGCAGCAGGGACGCAGCAAAGGAGGUUAGGUAGGUUUAUCAGCAUUUGGGGUACCGUCGCCACCACCGCCACAAGAUCAGCAGUCCCCUGCCAAGAUUCGGGGUGUCCCGCAGAUGUGCGCACUUGCCGCGACCCAAGCCGCACGCGCAUAACGAAUUCCAUUCAUUUGCAGCAGGCGACGAAAGUCAAGAGCCGUGCGCAUGAGCACGUCCGAUCCUGUUCUGAUUCCGAAAAGUCGACCUACAGAGAGAGAGAAGGAGAGACCUUUGCGCAGCUGCACUUUGUUUACAUUACACCACGAUGGGUCCCCGCCGUCCAAUCUAUCGUCUUGCACACGAGGCUCAAUCUGUCGCUCAAGCCGCUUACGGUUCGGCGAAUGACGAAACUGUUAAUACUGUUGCCCCGUCUCAGAUUCCAAUAAACAUAAAUUUAUAAACAACAGCGAACAAGCGGACCCGUCCUCUAAUACACAAUAACUUCCGCUCUAAUCUAAUUCGCACUAAUGGCAAGCGGCGAACAGGAACGAACAGGCAUAUGGGCGCAGGGACACAGACCCUCCCCUCCGCCUCCUUCCCAAGCGAUUGCUAAUCUCUCACGCGAUUAUUACCGCGCUGGGAGCGGUAUCCUUAUCGCACCGGGCAGAAACCCAAUCGUGCUGUGUGCUAAAUCUUCUUCCUCAGUGCUGCUCUGCUCUUUUUCCCUCUGAAACGGAAGUUCACAGAAGUCCCCUUCCUGACUACUCUUGCCCUCCUUUCCUCCAGAGGAUCAGAUGAUGACAUCUUCCCACCCGAUGGACGAGAAAUGAUGCAAUAAUGGAACCAAGUUAGCAAGAAUUGCACACCCGUGAAGUUGGCGACUGUUUGGCAACACCGCCGAACAUUCUGGUCCGUAACGGCGUCUGACAUUUUGCGAACGACACACGGACAGGACGUCAACAUUCCAGUGAACUGCUCCUUAUACAGGGGUUGGAGUGGGCGGAGAGAAGGGGGAUAGGGGAGGGUGAGACAUCCCAAACCUAACCAAGACUUCCAAACAAUUAUUCUUGCGGUGGAUCCGCAUACUGCAAAAAGUACCGAGAUGACAUUGAAACAUGAUCGGAAUCGCAAUUUUCUGUACGAUAACGGUAACGUAUGUUCCAAAUUUCUGAGGAAAAACAGAAAACACCCCAAUUCCCUGGAAGGCAUGGACGUGAUAAUUUAAGUUUUGGCGACACCCCGCAUAGCGUACCUGUGAGGUAGUUCCUGAUUGAUUGGGUUUCCCCGUCAAUUACAAUUGCGACCUGAUACAGGUGUCACUUGACUAUCUUUCAACUUCUACUUUUUUUAACUGACUCAUGCUGUAAGCUGAUGUUAUCGCACGUGGUUUUCCUUCCCGAAAUAGAAUAAUUGUGCAAUUGGGAGCUUGCACAGGGGUUGACAACAACCUCGCACAGUCUAUUUUAAACCCCAAAAAGAAAACCUAAUACUGGUGAAUUGUCGGAAGAUCUCCCAUUACUCAACGUUUAUACAAACAUUAAAACAUUUGCCAACCAAACAGGACACGCAUGACAGCGUCGUGUGUACAGAGAGCAAGAGAAAGAGAGAGAGAGAGAGAGAGAGAGAGAGAGAGAGAAAGAGAGAGAGAGAUAGAGAGAGAGAGAACAAUGCUCCACACCGUAGUCACUACUUUCUUAUCUAUUCCUACUAUACUACGGGGCUUAUCGCAUUCCAACACUGCGUAGACCCACACUCCACAUUACUCAUUAUUAUCGGCACGACAAAUAAUGAUAAACACGUUUCCUGUCCGGCACCAGCUAGCAAACAAAGAAGAAGAAAAAGACAUAUCGUCGUGCCUACGACCGGCGGGCAGAGAAUCCCCAUCAUAGUAGCUCCCUAGAUUCAUUCAUAAAAACUUUGCUCAACUCUCGCCAAGUGAAUGAAAGAUCCCCCCGCUGUAACACAGUAUGGAAAUACACACACGGCGAAGAAGUGGGGGAGAAAACACACUUCUAACGCUCACAAGACGCACUUCACCGAAGGAGAGAGAGUGGGGGUAGCCCGGUCCGAAACGCCGCUCAUCAAGCGAGAUUCCUUAAGUGGGCGGAAGAACGGUGAUAAGAAAGUGAAAAAGUAGUACACACACACUUGUGUGUGUUGUGUGAGCGCAACACAACACACACUUUAGGUAAACGGAGCGAAACGGAAACGAUUUAAGCAAUUGUGGCAUGAUUUCUUGAGAACGGACAACUGAAGAACACACACGCACCGAGCGGUGACUUUCUCUCAAACAUUCUGUCCCCUUUGCAAUGGCAUCUUCUGGGUGACGACGGGAGAUGUUGGUGCUGGAGAGUACACAGUGCUGUUUGGGAUGGUUUGUGAUGGAGGGAGGCGGGGGUUUAAUUUAUGAGUUUCUUCCCCCCACCCAAUUAUCAUAUUGAACGGUUUAAUUCAAUCAGAUGGACGAUUUUCUUUACUUCCCAUAACGAAAUUGUUGUGUUCGACACGCUUUAACUAACAACUUGUAGGAGCAGGGAGGGUUGUAGGAACGUUCCCCAGAGCAGUCAAUUUACUGUAGACUAUUGGGAACAAAAGUAGAACGCGGGAUUUAUUUCUCUAAAGUGGAGAGACAACAAUUCAAUUCAAGAAUCUACGAAUUCGCUCCACAGAGUGCCAAGACAACUGUGUGUCAGAUAAGUGGAGUAAUCCUGCAAUAGCAAAGAUUGUGUUGGCAAUGCUCGAAAAAGACGCUGCACGAAAACAUCAAUUCCUUGAAGUAUCGCUCAGCAAGUCGUUUUCCUUCGAUUAAAAGCAAUGGGAAUGAUCCAAAUAAUGAGUUAUUGAGACUCCUGUCAAAUGAGGCUGCGAGACGACGAACGCUGUAGGUCACCUUCUGAGCAAUUGCUCUUACUAUUCUAGUUGUUAGAGCAUGGAUUUAGCUCACCAGUACUUCUGCAAUUACGAAGAUGUUAAAACAUAUUUUUACUAUUGAAUUUAGUACCCAAUUCGCACAAUUCAGCAUCAAUUUUUGCUAAAAUAAAAACCUAACAAACCUAUUUACAUUCCUAAUUAUAAUCCCUUCAACAACCCAUUACCUAAUCCAACGCACCACAAACUUUAUCCCCAGGCUUUAGGGAGGAAUUUAAAAUCCAACACCUUGCAAUUAUUCCCGGUACUGUCUCCUUGACCUUAUUGGCCAGCAAUGCAAACCCCACCCGACACCGAAUGUGACAGCAACACAACAAACACAUAUUGCACCGUUAGUUGCGGUGACGAUAAAGAAGCAAACACCCGUUAGCUAUGCGGAGCAGGAAUUGAAAGCAGAAACCCACCGCUAUCCAGGGACUCAUGUACGGGAACUAGACGUAACAAGCAACAGCAAGAACAAACAUAUGGAACAUGCCCGAAGUGGAAAGAGGGAUAGCAAAGAACCCAACAAAGGGCGUGUGUAACAUCAGGUGACGCGAAAUAAGGGGAGAAUGUGGAAUAUGUGUACCCGUGUUGCUGAUAGCGCAACACCUUCCUGGAAUUGACUCACAUUGCUGGCCAGUUCCGGGGAAGACCUGAGGCGACACCGCAAACCCACACAGCAACUCAUCCGCCAACGGGAGACACCUUCGGAGGAUUCCCAUUUUAAGUCCAAGUGAAGGUGGAGAUGGCCCGCUUACACACUUCCAGGAACUUCUCCACAUCCCAUCAGCGAGUGCCACACGAGCGGAGGGAACCCGAGUGCCAAGCGUGAAGGAUCGCUCCAACCGGCUGAAACUCCCCCGACAUGGGAAAAAUAUCAAAAUAUCACCCCCGAGCACCUAUCGAAAUGUUGGUCCGCAGAGUUCGACGAACAGAACAGACGUCAAUUUCAUUCUCCGGCGGAGAUCGUUGGGUAAGAUGCCACCGACAAGCCCAUCAUAACAAAAUGUGUUAAGCCGCGUGGAAAAACAGUUUCACCGGAACAGCUUGAGAUAAGCAAAAACCCGCGCACCCUGACUGUGGUGUGUCAAAAGAGAGAGAGAGAGCACGUUGGUGAAGAUCUUAAUAACAGGAACAGAGAUGCGUCAUUCUACAUCACGCGCUGGAACCUUCGCUUCGCCAACAAGCGCCUCACAACUUGGGAGAAUUUUGCAAACCUGCCCCACAUGCUUUGUACCUUCUUCCCAGUGCUCCGCUGUUCCAAGAAACGGUAGUAAUCGCCCGGGCUCCCACCUCUGUGUGUCAUCUUGCCUUCAUCGCUCCGGUAUCUCGGUGAGAAAGCAGGUUGGGAAGUAUUAAUAAUGCAGCUGGAAAAUCAAACAACACACACCUCUCACCAUCCUUAUAGCAGCCACCUCCCCCCUGGGGAACCCGUUGGCUACCCGAACAGAUGAUUCAGACAGCAAACACUUCACACUACUGAACGCGGUGCUGGUGGACAUAACGCGCUCGAGAGAGCGUUCUUUCGCUUUUUCCCCCUUUUUCUUGUGAACUACUUACAUCCUGCCCACCCACUUACACAGCCCAAAACUCCCCGCUCUUGGGCGGGCAAAAACAAACACAGAUGAUAUUGCCAUUCGCGUGAAACAUUGCAGCUAUUCCGAGCGCAAGGCUAUCAAACGGUUUUGCGGAUGGAGCGGAGCGCUCUUAGCUGAAAAAACAACUUCACUCCUCUCUUUCCACAAACAACACACCAUUGAGGUAACCUAAUGGAGGGAAAACGUCACAGCAUUCCUUCUAGUUGCAUGGACGGGGAAUUUUCUCGUCGACCAAGAUGGAGCCUUGCAUCACUGUGAUGGCAUCGCAACGCGUUCAAUCGCAAGAGCUUUUCCCCGAACGCUCCGCUCCGUUGCAGCAUUGCACUGCACACCCGGUUGGAAUAGAGGGGAAGAAGAAAAGCACAUCCACAUCCAGCGGAGCACCGAAAUACGAAGAACACCGCCCGCGGAGAUUCGCCGGAAACGCUUGGGAUGGAACAUUUCUUUCCCAGGCUGCACUGAAGAUCAAAGACAAUGUGUAACGCGAUUCACCCCACGAGACGGGAUCGCUGCCGACGUCGGUAAUAUCGCAGCAAAAAAGCAGGAACCUGAUGGCGUAAUUGAAUUCACAAUUUUCGCCGCUCCCAGAGCACAAUCAGAGCGUGAGCGAGCACUUCCGGAAAAUUUUCAACGCCAUUCGCGUGCCUACACACACACACAUACAAUCUCAUAAAAAGCUUUGUCCGGGUGCACCCUCAUCCCUGGUGCGAGGGAAAAAGAUACUACAACAUGCCAUCAUCAUCCAUCAUCAUCCAGCUCUUUGCAUACUCCGUGUCCAGGAUGCGCUGGAACCGUUUGCCCGAAGGAGAACGAAAUGUUUUAUGAAUACCCACCGUUAUUUUCGCUUCCAACACACCGAGAGAUCAGCUCAAGCGAUACAAAGAUGAUAAACAAACAUCGUAGAUGCACGAAGCGAGAGGUAGGAAAGAAAGGUGUAAUAUUGCUGAUAUUUGCUGUUGCCUUGAAUCGCUCUUAACUAUUAACGAGACAUGGCGGCGCUCUCACUUCAAAGACUGUUCUGUGAGAACCGACCCGAACCGUUCUGUGGGGGGUCGAUCGUUAGUUAUAUCCUUGUUUACCUUCGCUGUCAGUGUUUCUGCGAAUGGCCAACUCUCUUCCUUGAUGCAAAACCAGUGCGCACAGGGAUUGUGAAAAUUCCAUGCCCGCGGAAAUGUAAAAAACAUUGGAGAUAGACGGAACGGUUUCUGACUGGAGGACGGCGGCAGUGGAUUAGUAGCGGGAAAAAGCAAUUUGCUCUUCCAAUAAAUUUGCAUCCUAUAUUCUCGGUAUA